rnacentral:lncRNA from 1 species
CGCGUGUGAGUCUCUUUCGCCUUGCUCCGGGCUUUCUUCGCUCGCAGCGCGGCAGGGUUAUCACCAGAUCUGGGCUUUCCCCUUCUUGCCGUCAGGUGCUACGGCCACGUGGCCCGCGGCUUCCCGCUCGCGCAGUCUGGCAGCCCGGAGCCUUCCGCGGUCCCCCGCCCGCCCGGGGCCCAACGACGCCCUACUGGGCGAGCACGAUUUCCGAGGACAGGGGGUCCGGGCCCAGCGCUUUCGAUUCUCGGAGGAGCCGGGUCCGGGGGCCGACGGGGCUGUCCUGGAGGUCCACGUCCCGCAGGUGCGUGCAGCAGCACCCGCCAGGAGGCGCCUGAGAUUGGAGCUGGAGUGAGCCUUCCAGGAAUUUUGGCUGCCAAAUGUGGUGCAGAAGUAAUACUGUCAGACAGCUCAGAACUGCCUCACUGUCUGGAAGUCUGUCGGCAAAGCUGCCAAAUGAAUAACCUGCCACAUCUGCAGGUGGUAGGACUAACAUGGGGUCAUAUAUCUUGGGAUCUUCUGGCUCUACCACCACAAGAUAUUAUCCUUGCAUCUGAUGUGUUCUUUGAACCAGAAGGUAAGCUUUUUUGGCUCAAUAGUACAUUUGGCCAGUGAUGCUAUAUGAAAAUCUAUUCAUAAAUCCUUUCUCCUCAGAUUUUGAAGACAUUUUGGCUACAAUAUAUUUUUUGAUGCACAAGAAUCCCAAGGUCCAAUUGUGGUCUACUUAUCAAGUUAGGAGGCAAGUAUGGAUGACCCUUACUUUUUAUAUGUAACUUAAGCCUUACUCUACCCUACCCAUGCGAUACAUAAUUUAAGAAUAGAAUACAUCUGAAGCAAAACAGAAAAGGCAUGACUUUAAAAGAACAACUUUUUUUUUUUAAGUGCUGACUGGUCACUUGAAGCUUUACUCUACAAAUGGGAUAUGAAAUGUGUCCACAUUCCUCUUGAGUCUUUUGAUGCAGACAAAGAAGAUAUAGCAGAAUCUACCCUUCCAGGAAGACAUACAGUUGAAAUGCUGGUCAUUUCCUUUGCAAAGGACAGUCUCUGAAUUAUACCUACAACCUGUUCUGGGACAGUAUCAAUACUGAUGAGCAACCUGGCACACAAACUAUGAGCAGACCACUUCAGCUUGAGAAUGCAGUGGGUCUGAAGAUGGUCAAGUCUGUUUGCCUUAGAUUUUGAUGUCACCUAGACAACACUUAAACUCAUAUGAAACAAAAAUUAAAAUACGUAUUAC